rnacentral:rRNA from 1 species
AGGAUGAACGCUGGCGGCGUACCUAACGCAUGCAAGUCGAACGGGAAUCUUUGGAGCAAUCUGGAGGUUCUAGUGGCAAACGGGUGAGUAACACGUGGGGAUCUACCUUGGAAUGGGGAAUAACGAGCCGAAAGGUUCGCUAAUACCGCAUACGCUGUGCCGCAAGGCAUAGGAAAGGUUCCGCAAGGGAUCGUUCCAAGAGGAGCCUGCGACCGAUCAGGUAGUUGGUGAGGUAACGGCUCACCAAGCCGACGACCGGUAGCUGAUCUGAGAGGAUGACCAGCCACACUGGCACUGAGAGACGGGCCAGACUCCUACGGGAGGCAGCAGCGAGGAAUAUUGCACAAUGGAGGAAACUCUGAUGCAGUAACGCGCGUGAGGAGAAGACCUUGGUUGUAAACCUCUUUGAGAGAGACGAGCGAGGACGGUAUCUCUAGAAUCAGUCUACGGCUAACUACGUGCCAGCAGCCGC